rnacentral:rRNA from 1 species
AAAUUGAAGAGUUUGAUCAUGGCUCAGAUUGAACGCUGGCGGCAGGCCUAACACAUGCAAGUCGAACGGUAGCACAGAGAGCUUGCUCUCGGGUGACGAGUGGCGGACGGGUGAGUAAUGUCUGGGAAACUGCCCGAUGGAGGGGGAUAACUACUGGAAACGGUAGCUAAUACCGCAUAACGUCGCAAGACCAAAGUGGGGGACCUUCGGGCCUCACACCAUCGGAUGUGCCCAGAUGGGAUUAGCUAGUAGGUGGGGUAACGGCUCACCUAGGCGACGAUCCCUAGCUGGUCUGAGAGGAUGACCAGCCACACUGGAACUGAGACACGGUCCAGACUCCUACGGGAGGCAGCAGUGGGGAAUAUUGCACAAUGGGCGCAAGCCUGAUGCAGCCAUGCCGCGUGUAUGAAGAAGGCCUUCGGGUUGUAAAGUACUUUCAGCGAGGAGGAAGGCGUUGUGGUUAAUAACCACAGCGAUUGACGUUACUCGCAGAAGAAGCACCGGCUAACUCCGUGCCAGCAGCCGCGGUAAUACGGAGGGUGCAAGCGUUAAUCGGAAUUACUGGGCGUAAAGCGCACGCAGGCGGUUUGUUAAGUCAGAUGUGAAAUCCCCGGGCUCAACCUGGGAACUGCAUUUGAAACUGGCAAGCUUGAGUCUCGUAGAGGGGGGUAGAAUUCCAGGUGUAGCGGUGAAAUGCGUAGAGAUCU